UAUCCGGGACUGCUCAUAUCCGAGAACAAUGGCAGCAGUGUCCACCUGAGGGAGGAACAGCGCUCUGCCCUGGCCUUCCUCAGUGCCCACUCCCAGGCAGCACAGGCUGCCAAAGGCAACCUCAACACUAGUCGAAGGUUAGCUACCAUCGAUGAAUCGGGUUCUUUGCUGUCAGACAUCAGCUAGGACCAAACAGACGACUCUCUGGACUGGGAUGCCUCGGUGAUGAAGACUGUGAGACUGCGGAAGCGCCAGAAACGACGCUCCUCCAGAAAACUGGAAAUUCCUCCACAGGCAGCAAAGAAACGCUCCACUGGACGCACUUCAGAUAGGAUGAAUGAGUCUAUAGUGGCCAAAACAACCAUCACU